rnacentral:rRNA from 1 species
GACGGAGGGCGCAAGCGUUGUUCGGAAUUACUGGGCGUAAAGCGCGAGCAGGCGGUUCGUUAAGUCCCCUGUGAAAUCCCGGGGCUCAACUCCGGAGUUGCAGGGGAUACUGGCGGACUGGAGACCGGUAGAGGCAAGCGGAAUUCCUGGUGUAGCGGUGGAAUGCGUAGAUAUCAGGAAGAACACCUGUGGCGAAGGCGGCUUGCUGGGCCGGUUCUGACGAUGAACCGCGAAAGCGUGGGGAGCGAACAGG